UUUAAAUAUAUAAUUCAUUUUAUAAGAUAUAAAGAAUCUACGCUCAACUUUACACUAAAAAAUUAAUAAUUUAACUCUCGUAAUUUGAAUCUUGCCACGUGCAGAAGACAAUAAUUAUUUUACUUAUACAAUCAUUAUGCCAUGUAUUUUAAUCUUAUUUAAGAAAAGAUUUUUAAAAAAAAUAGGAAAAACUUUAUGUAUUUCCAUACUUAAUUAUCAACUUAAUCCCACUAUACCAUGAACAUAUGGUAUGUGGAAUAAUAUAUACUAGCAACAUCAAAGGGAAAUAAUAAUAAUAAUUAUAGACGUACAUUUAAUCCCUUACACAUUGGUUGGUACCAUAGUUGUAGUUUGGCUUCUCCCCCACCCACAAUUGCACAGCUGCCCUCCCCGUGAAAUCACCAGUUCCCUUGGCAAGGUUCUCCCCUGCACCGGAAUGAAUCAAGUUACAAUCACCAGUUCUUGAAUUAAAGUAAACUAGUAUAUAUACUCGCGGAUAAUAUUAAAAUAUUAUUUUUAAGUGUAUUAGAAUGUGUGACUUGCAAGUUUGAGUCAGUCAAAAUUACAGUGUUUUUUUGUGUGAUUAAUUAACUUAGUUAGAAAAUCAAAUAUAAUUAUUUCACUCGUACUUCAACUUAUAAUAACUAAACGAAGUCAAUCGGAACUCAUCAUAGCUUUCUGAGGGAUCGACUCAAGACUCAUAAUCAAGAUUAUAUUGAUUAUGCUCACUUAGUUUUUGAAUAUGUAAAUUUCAUAAUUUAAAAAAGGAAAUAAAGAAUCUAUGUCGUGUUAGUGUUUUGCCCUAAUUAAAAAAAAAUAAAGGUCCUUUAAAUUUUUCAAAAGUGAACACCUUUGGUUUUGAGAAGAUAUUUAUCAAACUUUGAUUGUUAAAUUUAAUCGAAUUUGUAUAAAAUGUUAAAUUUUAAACACUGUGGAAUUUUAUUUCACAUGUGAAGAAAAUUCAAAGGAGAUUAAUGUUGCAUUGCAUGUCGUGUUAUUCAGGAAAUACUCUAUGCUUUAAAGAAUAGUCAUACUUUAAUCUAGGACAUUUCUUCACCCCAUAUUAUUCAGAUAAGAUUAAACAAGACUUAGUAAGUGUUUUUGGGUGGAAUAUUCACAAUAGGUAAAAUAUGCGCUCUCAAUAAUUACAUGCAAGUCUACGGAGCAUAGAAAGACAAGAUGCUUAUAUCGUACUUGCUAAAUGAAUCUAAUUCUAAUACAAUUUUAUAUCUCAAUUAAAUUGGACUCGCACAUGUUCUACAGUCUCGUGAAUCAUGUUGAAGCAACUAAAGCAAGGACUUUAGGCUCCAAAAUUUUAGGGUUCCGAUUUUUAUUUUUUAUUUUCUCAUACAAUGUCUAGAAUCUAUGUUGAAGUCACGAUUAAUUCAAUUUCGUGUCACAUAAGGUUCUUUAAAGGAAGAAGCUCUCUAGCAAUAUUUGUUUUCCUUUUGAGAUUUGGACUCAAUAUCUCUGAUCAAGAGAGGAAGCGAUUCAGUUUUAUUUAGCUAUAAAAUAUUUUAUGAAAAUUUGAUUUUAAACCAUCGAUCUUAUUGAGCCACCCUGCGUGAAUGUAUUGGAAGAAAAUUAUUCUAUGAGAGAGAGAAGACUAAGUAUUUAUUAGUCAUUGAAAGCAAUUUGGAUAUAAUGAAAACAAAAAAAUAAAGAAAGUGAUGGACACUUAAACCAGAACAAAUUUUUGGUCCUUUGUGUGGAAAUUAACUGCUUCACAUCCUUGCAGCUUCGAAUGAGAUUUUUUUUAAAAAAAUUUGAAAGUGUUGAAGCUGAAUUUAUGAAUAAAUAGUUAUAUGUUUAGAUAAGUUUUAAAUGGAGCAUAAAUAGUUUGAUUUGCUUAAUUAUAUAUGCACACAUUAAGUAAUUUCUAUCGUAUAUAUUUUGUAUAUUUCUUUUAUAUAUAAAAUAUAAUUUUUUGGUGAAAAGUGUUCAACGAUAGUCGCUAUAGUGUGUGGAAUUCAUGUUCCAUCACAUAAUUGGAGAGUUUUUUCUUGACUUUCUUUUUAUUAUUACUAUUAUUUAUGGAUUUUUAUAUAGUUUAAUUCACUGAUUUUGAUUCGGAGAAUGACAAUAUACUAGAGUUUUAAUUUACCCUUUGUUUGGUUAUAAUAUAUUAUAUUUAUUUGACUGCGUUUGCAUUAUAGUAUAAAUUGUUUGGAAUUACUUGUUUGUUUUGGGAAAGACUUGCAAGUUUGAGUCGGUCAAAAUUACACUGUGAUUAAUCAACUUAAUUAGAAAAUCAAAUAUAAUUUUAUACUUCACUCGUAUUCCACUUAAACUAACUAAAUUAAGUUAAACGGAACUCACCAUAGCUUUUCUGUGGUAUUGAGUUGUAUAUAAAUAUACUCUGAUGGUAUCAAAGAUAACUGAACAGUGUCUUCAUUGAAAGACUGCUUCUUCCUCCUUGAUAUUAUCAAAGUAUAAUAUACUUUGGUGGUAUUAAUGAGUAACCGAAUAGUGUUUUCAUUAAGGUUUGUUUCAGUCCUUCGAUGAGAAUACUCAAUCAUCCAUGAUACCAUUACGGUAUAUCUACAUACUGUCGUGGUAUCAUUUAGGUAUGCUUGAAUUCUUCAAUAUUUUAAUUUUAAAAAAUAUAAAAAUAUAUUUCCUACUAAUUUAGAGUUUAAUAAAUAAGAUUGUGAAUUUAAUAAUUUCUCUUAAUUAUUUCUUAAAAAAAGAGUUAAAUCCUAUAUCUCAUACUGAUAUCAUACGCGAUAUAAAAAAGGAGAAAGUGGGGUAAGCAUGUAAAUAUUUUGAGGCAUGGGUCCAUUUAGGGUAAAUAGUUUGGAUAAAGUCCAAUUUAGAUAAAUAGUUUCAUAAUUGGGUCUAUCUUACAUAGUUUUUUCUAUUAAUUACGCUACUUAAUUUUUAAAUAUAUAAAUUUCAUAAUUUUAAAUAAGUAAAGAACCUAUGCCCAACUUCACACUCGUACUUGGAAUUUUUCAAUAUUAAUUUGCUCAUACAAUUAUUCUACUAAUUUAUAUAGAACCAAUCCUUUUCUGAGAUUAAGUAGCACAAAUAUCGUAUUUUAAUCUUAGUUAAUGAAAGACAAAUUUUAAAAAGGUCAAAUAGGAAUAACAACUUUAUGUAUUCAUGUUUAGUGGAAACGAGAAGAUGCAAUACUUAGUUAUCAACGUAAGCCACUAUACCAUGAACAUAUGGUACGUGGAAUUAUUCAUACUAGCAACAUCAAAGGGUAAUAAUAAUAAUAAUUAUAGAGGUACAUUUAAUCCCUUACACAUCAUAAGUAAACACAUUUUAGUAAGGACGUUGUCCGACCCAGUUUCCAACAGGAUCAUAGUUGCAUGAAAUGAACCACCAUCCGUUGUUGCAACGAGCCCGACCACAACCUAGUCGAACUGAGUUGCGCCAGACUACUUGAGUAUAGUGUCCGCACACUUGUCCGCUUGCACAUUGGUUGGUACCAUAGUUGUAGUUUGGCUUCUCCCCCACCCACAAUUGCACAGCUGCCCUCCCCGUGAAAUCACCAGUUCCCUUGGCAAGGUUCUCCCCUGCACCGGAAUGAAUCAAGUUACAAUCACCAGUUCUUGAAUUGGCAUAAUUUUGUGCUCGGGAUGCCAAACCGGCAUCCCAAGACAUUGGCCCGACCCCGACUUGGGCACGGGCAUCGUUGUGAACCGCAAGAUAGUCUUGGGGUGAAUUUUGGGCAUCACAAGAGUGAAAUAUGGCUAAUACCAUGAGACAAGUGAGUAACAAUGAGAUGUUAAACAACCCCAUUUUGCUUUAGGUCUAGUGGAAAGAAAAUAAAUCUAAGUUAUUGUGAUUAUAAAUGUGAGAUAAGUAGUGUAUUUAUAAGUAAAAUUAAUUGUGGAAUUUUGUUUAGCAUGUGUGAAGAAAAUUCAAAGGAAAUUAGUAGAGGAAAUGAUAAAAAUGGUCUCUUAUCUUUGAUAGUAAGUUCAAAAUAGUCUCGUGUGUAUUUAGUUGAGCCAUUUUGGUCCUUCAAUUGUUUAGAAGUAAUUACUUUCGGUCCUGAUGGUAUCAAAGAUAAGUGAACAGUGUCUUCAUUGAAGGACUGCUUCUUCCUCCUUGAUAUUAUCAAAGGAUAAUAUACUUUGGUGGUAUUAAUGAGUAACUGAAUAGUGUUUUCAUUAAGAUUUGUUUCAGUCCUUCGAUGAGAAUACUCAAUCAUCCAUGAUAUCAUUACGGUAUUUCUACAUACUGUCGUGAUAUCAUUGAGGUAUGUUUGAAUUCUUCAAUAUUUUAAUUUUAAAAAAUAUAUUUCCUACUAAUUUAGAGUUUAAUAAAUAAGAUUGUGAAUUUAAUAAUUUUCUCAUAACUAUUUCUUAAAAAAAGAGUUAAAUCCUAUAUCUCAUACUAUAUCAUGUGCAAUAUAAAAAAGGAGAAAGUGGGGUAAGCAGGUAAAUAUUUUGAGGUAUAGGUCCAUUUAGGGUAAAUAGUUUGGAUAGAGUCCAAUUUAGAUAAAUAGUUUCAUAAUUGGGUCUAUCUUACAUAGUUUUUUCUAUUAAUUACGCUACUUAAUUUUUAAAUAUAUAAAUUUCAUAAUUUUAAAUAAGUAAAGAACCUAUGCCCAACUUCACACUAAGAAUUUAGUACUUUGACCCUCGUACUUGGAAUUUUUCAAUAUUAAUUUGCUCAUACAAUUAUUCAACUAAUUUAUAUAGAACCAAUCCUUUUCUGAGUUUAAGUAGCACAAAUAUCGUAUUUUAAUCUUAGUUAAUGAAAGACAAAUUUUAAAAAGGUCAAAUAGGAAUAACAACUUUAUGUAUUCAUGUUUAGUGGAAACAAGAAGAUGCAAUACUUAGUUAUCAACGUAAGCCACUAUACCAUGAACAUAUGGUACGUGGAAUUAUUCAUACUAGCAACAUCAAAGGGUAAUAAUAAUAAUAAUUAUAGAGGUACAUUUAAUCCCUUACACAUCAUAAGUAAACACAUUUUAGUAAGGACGUUGUCCGACCCAGUUUCCAACAGGAUCAUAGUUGCAUGAAAUGAACCACCAUCCGUUGUUGCAACGAGCCCGACCACAACCUAGUCGAACUGAGUUGCGCCAGACUACUUGAGUAUAGUGUCCGCACACUUGUCCGCUUGCACAUUGGUUGGUACCAUAGUUGUAGUUUGGCUUCUCCCCCACCCACAAUUGCACAGCUGCCCUCCCCGUGAAAUCACCAGUUCCCUUGGCAAGGUUCUCCCCUGCACCGGAAUGAAUCAAGUUACAAUCACCAGUUCUUGAAUUGGCAUAAUUUUGUGCUCGGGAUGCCAAACCGGCAUCCCAAGACAUUGGCCCGACCCCGACUUGGGCACGGGCAUCGUUGUGAACCGCAAGAUAGUCUUGGGGUGAAUUUUGGGCAUCACAAGAGUGAAAUAUGGCUAAUACCAUGAGACAAGUGAGUAACAAUGAGAUGUUAAACAACCCCAUUUUGCUUUAGGUCUAGUGGAAAGAAAAUAAAUCUAAGUUAUUGUGAUUAUAAAUGUGAGAUAAGUAGUGU
rnacentral:lncRNA from 1 species